GAUGAACGCUAGCGGCAGGCCUAAUACAUGCAAGCCGAACGGCAAGUUUGAUAGCAAUAUUGGACCUAGAGUGGCGCAAGUGUGCGUAACACGUAUGCAACCUGCCCGCGACAGGAGGAUAGCUCCCCGAAAGGGGAAUUAACCCUCCAUAACACCAUGAGAAGGCCUCUGAUUAUGGUUAAACCGCAAGGGGUCGCGGAUGGGCAUGCGGUUGAUUAGCUAGUUGGCGGGGUAAAGGCCCACCAAGGCGGUGAUCAAUAGGGGUUCUGAGAGGAAGGUCACCGGCACUGGGACUGGGAUACGGGUCAGACGCCUACGGGAGGCAGGAGUAGGGAAGAAGGGACCAUGGUUGCAAGACUGAACCAGCCAGGCAGUGUGGAGGAAGAAGGCCUUCUGGGUCGCAAACUGCUUGGUCCUGUAGAUAAAAAACCCGUGAGGGGGGAAUUGAAGGUAACAGGGGAAUAAGCCACGGCUAACUACGUG
rnacentral:rRNA from 1 species